rnacentral:rRNA from 1 species
UCCUCCCUCUGGCGGCGUGCUUAACACAUGCAAGUCGAACGGAAAGGCCCUGCUUUUGUGGGGUGCUCGAGUGGCGAACGGGUGAGUAACACGUGAGUAACCUGCCCUUGACUUUGGGAUAACUUCAGGAAACUGGGGCUAAUACCGGAUAGGAGCUCCUGCUGCAUGGUGGGGGUUGGAAAGUUUCGGCGGUUGGGGAUGGACUCGCGGCUUAUCAGCUUGUUGGUGGGGUAGUGGCUUACCAAGGCUUUGACGGGUAGCCGGCCUGAGAGGGUGACCGGCCACAUUGGGGCUGAGAUACGGCCCAGACUCCUACGGGAGGCAGCAGUGGGGAAUAUUGCACAAUGGGCGGAAGCCUGAUGCAGCAACGCCGCGUGCGGGAUGACGGCCUUCGGGUUGUAAACCGCUUUCGCCUGUGACGAAGCGUGAGUGACGGUAAUGGGUAAAGAAGCACCGGCUAACUACGUG